GUGAGGAAUAUUGCGCAAUGGAGGCAACUCUGACGCAGCCAUGCCGCGUGCAGGAAGAAGGCGCUACGCGUUGUAAACUGCUUUUAACCGGGAAGAAACCCCAGGACGUGUCCUGGGUUGACGGUACCGGAGGAAUAAGCACCGGCUAACUUCGUGCCAGCAGCCGCGGUAAUACGAAGGGUGCAAGCGUUAUCCGGAUUCAUUGGGUUUAAAGGGUGCGUAGGCGGAGCGUUAAGUCAGUGGUGAAAUCCUGCAGCUUAACUGUAGACUUGCCAUUGAUACUGGCGCUCUUGAGUGCGCUUGAAGUGGGCGGAAUGUGUCGUGUAGCGGUGAAAUGCUUAGAUAUGGCACAGAACACCAAUUGCGAAGGCAGCUCACUAAGGCGAUACUGACGCUGAGGCACGAAAGCGUGGGGAUCGACCAGGAUUAGAUACCCCUGUAGUCC
rnacentral:rRNA from 1 species